rnacentral:rRNA from 1 species
AACGAACGCUGGCGGCAGGCUUAACACAUGCAAGUCGAACGCCCCGCAAGGGGAGUGGCAGACGGGUGAGUAACGCGUGGGAAUCUACCCAGUUCUACGGAACAACAGUUGGAAACGACUGCUAAUACCGUAUACGCCCUACGGGGGAAAGAUUUAUCGGAAUUGGAUGAGCCCGCGUAAGAUUAGCUAGUUGGUGAGGUAAUGGCUCACCAAGGCGACGAUCUUUAGCUGGUCUGAGAGGAUGACCAGCCACACUGGGACUGAGACACGGCCCAGACUCCUACGGGGGGCAGCAGGGGGGAAUAUUGGACAGUGGGCGCAAGCCUGAUCCAGCCAUGCCGCGUGAGUGAUGAAGGCCUUAGGGUUGUAAAGCUCUUUCACCGAUGAAGAUAAUGACGGUAGUCGGAGAAGAAGCCCCGGCUAACUUCGUGCCAGCCGCCGCAGUAAGAC